CAACCUCCGUCCAUUCAAGACUCAGGUCAGUCGGAUGAGUUAGUGGAACCGAGAAGACAUUGUCGAUGAUGUUCAGACACUGUUCGUACUCCAGCAAAGCCUACACACAGAUAUCAAUUCCUGGCUUCGCGCAGAGUGGCGAAAAAUUUGUCAGUGGCGGCUUUCACGCGACCAUAGAGUUCGGCGGUUUCACCAUGAGCGGCCAUGUUUCCAGGUUAGCAGGAAUUAAACCAACGGAUCAAGCACAAAACAAAAUUCAAAAAUAUCUGAGUCGAUUGCACAGAAUUUAAUGAUGCUGUUGUGAUCAAGAUUGAAGACAAGUGACAACUGAUUUACGAGUGACGACUACGAAGACGAGAAAUGAAAGUGGCGGUAUCACAGCAGAUCGGUAUAUAUUGUGAAAUGUUUCGUAAUGACUCGGUUCGCGUUCCUUGACCUCGCUCAGACGGAAAACGCUGAAAAUCGAAAUUUAAAAUAUCUGCUCCGGUCAGUGAGAAGUGAUAACGCCCGAUUGGGCGCGAGUUGUUCGAUGAACACUGAAGACUGAAACACGUAUUAUCACUAAAUUAUUAAUAUUCUGUGACUUGUGAGUCACAGACUGUGGCUAAACACUGAACACUCGGUCAGUCGUCACUCGUUGAUUGCGACUAUCAUUGAAUAUUUAAAUAAUAAUAUGAUAUUAUUGUUGUUUUACCGAUGACUCAUCACCCAUGCCGCCGACGAUGUCAUUUUUGCACAUUGAUGUUGGUACAGUAAUAGAAAAACGCCUCAUCGUGCUUACGUAUCUAAUUGAUAAUAAUUAUUAUUUAUUGACUUUUACCUGUGUGUGUUCGAAGUUCAUAAUCACAUCGGCACAGACUUUUGUUCUACACUAUUGUAACUUAAAAUCAUUUUAGUAUAUUUUUAUUACUUAUCAUUUACUAAUAUUAUACGAUGUAUACGGAGCUAACUGCUUAAAUACAUAUUCAUGAUAAAUAGUAAAAACACAUAUUAGUAAGUAGGCACCUAUAAAUCUAUGCAUUAUGAAUUAAUAGUUAUAAGUAUAACUAACAGCAAUUAAUAUACUAAUAGUACCUAGAAAAUAUAUCAGAGGUAGGUUAGCUUAGCCUAGUUGUAUUAGAAUUUAGAAUAAAAUUAAAAACAUUUGUACUUACUUAAAGGCAGUAAUUAUAAACAGAAUAAUAAAUUGUAAACACCUAGAAUGUUGUUUAGUAAACAAAUCUAUUACGUUUUCUGGUUUUACAUUAAUUUACAUUAAUUUCACUAUGAAUAUCUAAUAGGUAAUGCUACUCAUUUAAACGAUUGUCUCCCAUCGUCGUUAUAAAUUAUAAUAUAACCCUCUAUCUAGUAGUCUCCAAGUGAAGUUUCUUUUACCAAAAAUUUGUAUUUUAUUUUGCUUUGCUUUUGGACUUUUAAUAGUUUUAAAGUGAGGUAUUUAAUGAUUUGUCUCCAUCCGAAAAUGUCUUAUAAUUUAUCGGUAGGUACGUCUCUGUAUCAUUUUUCUAUAAUAUAUUUUAUGUUAAAUAUUUUAA